rnacentral:rRNA from 1 species
GAACGAGAACGGCGACUUCGGUUGCUAAGUAAAGUGGCAGACGGCUGAGUAACACGUAAGUGAUUUGCCCCGGAGCGGGGGAUAAUCCGGAGAAAUCCGGCCUAAUACCCCGUACGUUCAUUAAGUUACGGCUUAGUGAAGAAAGAUUUAUUGCUCUGGGAGAAGCUUGCGGCCUAUCAGGUAGUUGGUGGGGUAACGGCCUACCAAGCCGAAGACGGGUAACCGAUGUGAGAGCAUGAUCGGUCAGAGGGGGACUGAGACACGGCCCCCACUCCUACGGGAGGCAGCAGCAGGGAAUCUUGCGCUAUGGGCGAAAGCCUGACGCAGCGACACCGCGUGGGGGAUGAAGGUCUUAGGAUUGUAAACCCCUUUUAUGAGGGAAGAGAACGGACGGUACCUCACGAAUAAGGAUCGGCUAACUACGUGCCAGCAGCCGCGGUAAUACGUAGGAUUCGAACGUUGUCCGGAUUUAUUGGGCGUAAAGGGUGUGUAGGCGACAUGGCAAGUCUCAUGUGAAAUCUCCCGGCUCAACUGGGAGGGGUCAUGGGAAACUGCCAAGCUGGAGGGCAGCAGAGGAAAGCGGAAUUCCGGGAGUAGUGGUGAAAUGCGUAGAUACCCGGAGGAACACCCGAGGCGAAGGCGGCUUUCUGGACUGUACCUGACGCUGAAACACGAAAGCGUGGGGAGCGAACCGGAUUAGAUACCCGGGUAGUCCACGCCCUAAACGAUGGA